rnacentral:rRNA from 1 species
UACAGAGGUGGCAAGCGUUGUUCGGAAUUACUGGGCGUAAAGAGCGCGUAGGCGGCCUACUAAGUCAGACGUGAAAUCCCCCGGCUUAACCUGGGAACUGCGUCUGAUACUGGAAGGCUUGAGGAUGGGAGAGGGAUGUAGAAUUCCAGGUGUAGCGGUGAAAUGCGUAGAUAUCUGGAGGAAUACCGGUGGCGAAGGCGGCAUCCUGGACCAUUACUGACGCUGAGGCGCGAAAGCUGGGGGAGCAAACGGG